UUUGGUUGAAGCUUUGGAGAUUUUGGGAAGAGACCACAGAGUCAGGUAGUGUAUUCCAAGCAUUAACAACUCUGUUACUGAAGUCAUAUUUUCUGCAAUCAAGAUUGGAGCGGUUAACAUUAAGUUUAAAUCUAUUGUGUGCUCGUGUAUUGUUGCAAUUGAAGCUGAAGUAGUCUUCAAUAGGAAGGACAUUGUAAUAGAUGAUUCUGAGUUAAACUCAGGUCAUGUUGAAGGCGGCAUAGUUCUAAAUUUUCUAAACCCAGGAUUUCAAAUCUGGUGGCAUAAGUAGUUUGUUGUAUUCGGAGGAGUGAAGAACUCUUCUUGUAAAAUAUUUCUGGACACGUUCAAUUGUAUUGAUGUCUGAAAUGUGGUAUGGGUUCCAGACAGGCGAGCUGUAUUCAAGAAUUGGUCUAGCAAAUGUUUUAUAAGCUCUGGUUAGUAGUGUAGUGUUUCUGGAGAGGAAGCUGCGCAAGAUUAGGUUUACAACUCCUGAAGCCUUUUUUGCGAUGUAGUUACAGUGGGCUUUGGCACUUAGAUCAUUUGAUAUGAAAACUCCAAGGUCUUUAACAGGGUGGGGGGUCAUCUGUAAGGUAAUGUCCAUCAAGCUUGUACUUAGUGUUUAGGUUCUUUUUUCCAAUAUGUAAGACUGAGCAUUUGCUGGUUGAGAUUUGGAGUUGCCAAGUUUUAGACCAUUCAGAUACAAAGUCAAGGUCUUUUUGAAGGGUAGAAGUAUUGUUAGUGGUGUUAAAUAGUUUGACAUCGUCAGCAAAGAGAACACAAUGACUUGAGAUAAGGUCACAGAGAUCAUUUAUGUAUAAUAUGAAGAGCGUUGGUCCAAGAACGCUACCUUGGGGAACGCCACUUUUGACAGGAACAGGAUUUGAUAGAGCAUUGCCAAUUUUGACCACUUGUUGUCUGUUUGAUAGGAAAGCUGUUAUCCAGUUGUGGAGGGAUCCUGAGAUGCCGUAGGAUUUUAGUUUUAGGAGAAGUUUAUUAUGUACUACUGAGUCAAAAGUCUUUGUAGAUUGCAUCUAUUGCUUUGACCUGAUCAAGAUUUGUAGUCCAUAUGUUUUUGCAGUGAGAAUGGUAAGAGCAUUCCAUUUAAAAGUCCUUUUAAAAAGUGUCGGAUUCAAAAGUGCCAGACCCUUCAUGCUCUUUUGAACAUAACAGAGGGCAGAUUCAGCAUUUCAAAUGCUCUGUUGCAGAAAGAGCAUACGUUCAGCAUGCUUGUGUACAGAUAGUCCUCAACUUAUAACAGUUCAUUUAAUGACUGUUCAAAUUUUUUUUUUUUUUUGCAUUUAUAUCCCGCCCUUCUCCGAAGACUCAGGGCGGCUUACACUAUGUCAAGCAAUAGUCUUCAUCCAUUUGUAUACUAUAUACAAAGUCAACUUAUUGCCCCCAACAAUCUGGGUCCUCAUUUUACCUACCUUAGAAAGGAUGGAAGGCUUGAGUCAACCUUGGGCCUGGUGGGACUUGAACCUGCAAUAUUGCAAGCAGUUGCUGUUAAUAAUAGGCUGCAUUAGCCUGUUGCACCACCAGAGGCCCUUCACCAUGGCACUGAAAAAAAUGACUUGUGACCAUUUUCACACUUACGACCAUUGCAGCAUGUCCUAUGAUCACAUGAUCAAAAUUCAGAUCUUUGGCAACUGGCUCAUAUUUAUGAUGGUUCCAGGGUCAUGUGAUCAUUUUUUGUGACCUUCAGACAAGCAAAGUCAAUGGGGAAGCCAGAUUCACUUAAACGAAAGUGUUACUAAUUGAACAACUGCAGUUUUUCCCUUAACAAAAGUGGCAAAAAAGGUCGUAAAAUGGGGGCAAAAAACCUCACUUAAAUGUCUCAUUUAACAACAUAAAUUCUGGGCUCAAUUGUGGUCGUAAGUCGAAGACUACCCAUAGUCACAAAAGGGGACACUCUAAAGCAGUGGUCUCCAACCUUGGCAACUUUAAGCCUGGCGGACUUCAACUCCCAGAAUUCUUGCUGGCUGGGCAAUUCUGGUAGUUGAAGUCCGCAAGGCUUAAAGUUGCCAAGGUUGGAGACCCCUGCUCUAAAGCUAGACAGACUGAGGCUGAAAGCAGUUAUAACAAACAAACAAACAAACAAAAAUAGACGGAAGUCAUUUAAAUAAGUCUGGGCUCUUUGCUGAGGAGGCAGUUAUCUUUUGUAUAUCUUCUGCUAAAGGACGUUUUUUGUUUUGCAGAGACAACUGUGAGCUACCCAACACAAACAGAGCGGCUCUUGGGAAGCAGAGAGACGUCAUGUCUCCAGCUGAAUCCACAAGGAAAUCAUAACCAUUACUUGUCAUUAUGCAACUCGUCUAACAAGUGAAAUAUUCAAGAAGACCUUCAGCUGUUCACUUGAAGGCAUCCUGAAGGCUACUUACAAGCAGGACAGGUAACAGUAUAACAGAGUUGGAAGGGACCUUGGAGGUCUUAGUCAACCUCCUGCUCGAGCGGGAGACCCUAUUUCAUUCAGGACAAAUGGCUGUCCAGUCUCUUCCUAAAGAUCUCCAGUGGUGAAGCAAUCUAUGAAACCAAUGGGCUGCUCCUAAAUGCCAUAAAGCUUCGUUUGGCCUGGAAAAAUUGGUUGCUGAAUUGUCUCGGGGAAGAAACUGAGCAAAGGUUAUGUCAGGUAGCUAAGGCUUAGAAUCCCAGAGUUGAAAGGGACCCUAGAGGUCCUCCAGUCCAACCCCCUGUGCUGAAAAGAGCUGCAUUUCUAAUUUCAGGUGGUCGAAGCACCUGAAUUUGUUUCCCAGUUAAGCUCAAAGUGAAGUGAAGGUCUCGGCUAGCUCAGCCACAGAAUCACAGAAGUCUCCCUGCAGGAUAUCAACAUGCGGAAAGCUUUCAAGAGCUCUACCAUCCAGAACCAGCAGGUGGUGUCGCGCAAUUCGAUCCCUAAUCCCGUGAUGGAGAUGUACCAGCGUUGUGAUAAGCCUCCGCCCUUGAAUAUCCUCACUCCGUACAGUAUAUCACUUUUGCCUGGAUUCUAGCUGGAUGGAGCAAUUUGUCUUCCUUAGGACGAAUCUCCCAUGUCAACAUCUGAACCACCGGCAGUUGCUUGGCUACCUCCCAGACAGGAAGAGGAAGACAUCAACUCACCUGGAUCACACACAUAACCCGCUAUUUGCUCAUCUAAUGAAUCACCCUGAGAUGAAUCGUUAAUCAUGACAUCCAAGAUGAGCCAAUUCGGUGUUAAGUUUCUACUACAGAACUAGGAAGAGGCCUGUAGUUAUUUGUUUUGGCUAAUGAGUGAAAGAAAAGCAAGUCAUGACCUAUAAAUGCAAUAGGAAUAUGCAAAAUAUUCUGAGCUUAAGAUGUCCCUAUCUCAGUAGAUAGGGCCUUUCAGUUUUUGUUCCAAAGUUUUAUCCCAAGCUUCACUCAAAAUGUGGAGUUUCAUAGCAUUUUGAACUCAUUUUCUCCUUAUCUUUUUUUUUUAACAGUAGAUUAUCCAAUAAAGCAGCAGGUACUGGUCUUCUUCCUAUGGCAGUAUCGCUGGCUAGGAGCAUUU